UACGAAGGGUGCUAGCGUUGUUCGGAAUCACUGGGCGUAAAGCGCGCGCAGGCGGUCAUGCGAGUCAGGGGUGAAAUCCCGGGGCUUAACCCCGGAAUUGCCUUUGAAACUGCAUGGUUGGAGUCUCGGAGGGGAUAGCGGAAUUGCUAAUGUAGCGGUGAAAUGCGUAGAUAUUAGCAGGAACACCGGUGGCGAAGGCGGCUAUCUGGACGAGUACUGACGCUGAGGCGCGAAAGCGUGGGGAUCAAACAGG
rnacentral:rRNA from 1 species